AGGAAGGUUAAUUAUCCCCUUCCUAAAGAUUACUGGGAGAGCGGGGAGGAACAUGUACUUCUUCAAGUAUUCUCUAAUUUAUUGGUUUUGGAGCAUCCUGGCCUUGAUUGUGUUACUGGUGGAAAAAGUACCUGUGUUGUCAAGCUGUGGAAUGUGGGUUCCAUGUUGCAGAAUGGUAUGUCCAGAUUGCUCUCAGAAUGGACCAAGGCGAAGAGUCAGUACGGUAUCCCUGUAUUCCAGUAUCCCUGAAUUCAGGGAAGUUGCUGUUUUCCCAGACUGCCCUGGUUUGGGUGCUUUUYAAUCGCUGCUUUAUCACCAUUUCCAAUAACUUAUUCUCUUCACAUAGGCAGGCCUUCAAGCGGCGCGGAGCUGCAGCUGCCUCUGUCCAACGUGCCCUCGUUGUGGGGCAGUUCUGGCGCCUGCUGUUGCCCUGCCAGGGCGGGAGGCCGACAGUCCCUGUGUGCAGGGCCGUGCGGCGCCCACAGGGCCACGUUUGGGCCGUACUUGCCUGGGAACUGCACAGCCCUGUUUUGAGACAAGGGGAUGGAUGUACCUAUGUAGGCGCUGCCUUGGGAGGCCUGUCUGCAGGCACCUGCUUGUGUGAGCUCGUGGCAGUGCUGGCUUCGCAGUAUGAGCUCAUGAUCCUCCAAGCAAAAUCUGGACUAACGAGCCCUACCCUGCCCAGGAAAGACGGUGCUUGUACCAACACCUGCGACGGGAAGCGGUGACUUUCCCAAGAUCCUAGAGAUUGCACUGAAUCAAUUACCCGAGUCCUGCGUUAGCGGCAGCUGAGACUGUGAGCGGGAGCUGYGGAGCUAGAGGGGCGGCCUGGCCCAGCCCGGCUCUGGUCCCUCCUUUGCGGCCUUCCCU